CUCCUCUCCUCUCCUUUUCUUUCUCUUCUUCUUUCUUUCUUUCUCAGUUUUUUUCUUUUGUCAAAAUGGGUGGUGGUCCUCUGAAAGGCAGUUAUUUUCUUAGCAAAUCAGCUGCUAUAGAUCAAAGGCAAAGAUUGUAAUUAGAAGAAGAAAGCUUGGAAGGAAAUAUAACAUUAGUUCGAACAUUUUCUCUGUGUCAAUUCCUGUCGCAGGCUUCCAUAGUAUAAUUGUAUGCAGGUAUUAGGUAUACAUUAAGCAUAAUGGAAUCUCACCGCUAAAGAUGUGACACAAUGUGCAAGGUGGAUGAUAUAUAGACCCCAUAUUGGAUAAGUUUAGGUGAUCAAUUACAUGGAAUCUUGAGCUGCUUCUCUGAUCUUGAGAAAUUUUUUUUUUUUUUUUUUUUUUUUUU